rnacentral:miRNA from 1 species
CUCUGGAGGGAAGCACUUUCUG